CCCGCUGAACUUAAGCAUAUCAAUAAGCGGAGGAAAAGAAACUAACAAGGAUUCCCCUAGUAACUGCGAGUGAAGCGGGAAGAGCUCAAAUUUGAAAUCUGAGGGUCUGUGGGCGGUGCGAGAAGUAAUCUGAAGAAGCGUUUAUCCGUGUCGGCCUCGUGUACAAGUCUUCUGGAAUGGAGCGUCAUAGAGGGUGAGAAUCCCGUCUUUGGCAUGGACACACCAGGGCAUCUGUGAUGUGCUCUCUUAUAGAUCGAGCGGCCAGUGAUUUCUGAUGCGCUCUCGAAGAGUCGAGUUGUUUGGGAAUGCAGCUCAAAAUGGGUGGUUAAUUCCAUAUAAAGCUAAAUAAAGGCGAGAGACCGCUAGCGAACGAGUGCGGUGAGGUACAGAUGAAAAGCGACUAAGGAAAGAGAGUGAAACAGUACGUGAAAUUGUGGAAAGGGAUACGCUUGAAGUCAGUUGCGUCUUGUAGAACUCAGCCGUGCUUAUACUAGGCGCAUUGUCCAGUGCGACGGGUCAGCAUCGGUUUCGGAGGGCAGACAAAGGCGCAGGGAAGGUGGCCGCUCCAGUGGUGUUAUAGUCCUGCGUUCUAUGCGCCCGCCGGGACCUAUGAAUCCGGCUCGCGCCUGGGAUGCUGGCGUAAUGGCUAUAAGCGACCCGUCGUUGAAACACGGAAGGGCGAAUGCGCGGCCUCUACAAUACAACUUCGACCCUUAA
rnacentral:rRNA from 1 species